UAUUAUUAUUAUAUUAUUAUAGGUUAUUUUUAUUAUAUUACUAUAUUAUAGGAUAUUAUUGUUAUAUUACUAUAUUAUAGGAUAUUAUUAUGAUAUUAUUAUAUUACUAUGUUAUAUUACUAUAUUAUAGAACGCUGCAAACCAAAAGCUACAUACCUGAGAGGACCUUGUGUUUUUAGCCUGACAUUGCAACACAGGAAGCAGCUGGAGGCGAGAGACUUAGAUUACAGUACAGUGGUUUAGGUCUAGGCCACAUACAGCAGUUAAUGAUGACCUUGUCCUCAUGUAUUAGUUAUGAUGAGGUCUAGGCAGUUAAUGAUGACCUUGUCCUCAUGUGUUUAGUUAUGAUGAGGUCUAGGCCACAUACAGCAGUUAAUGAUGACCUUGUCCUCAUGUGUUAGUUAUGAUGAGGUCUAGGCCACAUACAGCAGUUAAUGAUGACCUUGUCCUCAUGUGUUAGUUAUGAUGAGGUCUAGGCAGUUAAUGAUGACCUUGUCCUCAUGUGUUUAGUUAUGAUGAGGUCUAGGCAGUUAAUGAUGACCUUGUCCUCAUGUGUUUAGUUAUGAUGAGGUCUAGGCAGUUAAUGAUGACCUUGUCCUCAUGUGUUUAGUUAUGAUGAGGUCUAGGCCACAUACAGCAGUUAAUGAUGACCUUGUCCUCAUGUGUUAGUUAUGAUGAGGUCUAGGCCACAUACAGCAGUUAAUGAUGACCUUGUCCUCAUGUGUUUAGUUAUGAUGAGGUCUAGGCAGUUAAUGAUGACCUUGUCCUCAUGUGUUUAGUUAUGAUGAGGUCUAGGCAGUUAAUGAUGACCUUGUCCUCAUGUGUUAGUUAUGAUGAGGUCUAGGCCACAUACAGCAGUUAAUGAUGACCUUGUCCUCAUGUGUUUAGUUAUGAUGAGGUCUAGGCAGUUAAUGAUGACCUUGUCCUCAUGUGUUUAGUUAUGAUGAGGUCUAGGCAGUUAAUGAUGACCUUGUCCUCAUGUGUUAGUUAUGAUGAGGUCUAGGCCACAUACAGCAGUUAAUGAUGACCUUGUCCUCAUGUGUUUAGUUAUGAUGAGGUCUAGGCAGUUAAUGAUGACCUUGUCCUCAUGUGUUUAGUUAUGAUGAGGUCUAGGCCACAUACAGCAGUUAAUGAUGACCUUGUCCUCAUGUGUUUAGUUGUGAUGAGGUCUAGGCCACAUACAGCAGUUAAUGAUGACCUUGUCCUCAUGUGUUAGUUAUGAUGAGGUCUAGGCAGUUAAUGAUGACCUUGUCCUCAUGUGUUAGUUAUGAUGAGGUCUAGGCCACAUACAGCAGUUAAUGAUGACCUUGUCUUUACACAACUUCCUCUCAGCUAUGUAGACUUAAAGUAUUAAUUGGGAACAAUUUGUGGAGGAAUGUAACAGUUUUUUGGGGUGAUUUGUGAUGUUUUAUUUGUGCUUCCCAUGACUGUGUUUUAGUAUUAAAAUGUUCUAUAUGUUUGGGUCUAAUCUUUAUAUUGACUGUAUGUUGUAUAUUCAGGGCACAUUUGUGGAAAAAGACCCUAGGUCUCAGUAUGUUUUCCCUGUUAAAAUAAAGGUUAAAACAUGG